ensembl:snRNA U1 U1 spliceosomal RNA
AUACUUACCUGGCAGGGGAGAUACCAUGAUCACGUAGGUGGUUUUCCCAGGGCGAGGCCCACCCAUUGCACUUGGGGUGUGCUGACCCCUGCGAUUUCCCCAAAUGCGGGAAACUCGACUGCAUAAUUUGUGGUAGUGGGGGACUGCGUUCGCGCUUUCCCCUG